rnacentral:rRNA from 1 species
ACACGACUACAUUAGAUACCCGGGUAGUCCCAGCCGUAAACGAUGCGCGUUAGGUGUAUCGGUGACCACGAGUCACCGAGGUGCCGAAGGGAAACCGUGAAACGUGCCGCCUGGGAAGUACGGUCGCAAGGCUGAAACUUAAAGGAAUUGGCGGGGGAGCACCGCAACGGGAGGAGCGUGCGGUUCAAUUGGAUUCAACGCCGGACAACUCACCAGGAGCGACGGUUACAUGAAGGCCAGGCUGAUGACCUUGCCUGAUUUUCCG